UCAAUGACGAAACUGAUCAGAUCAUUAGAUGCAAAAUAAAAAAAUCCAACAGAAUUCCUCCUGAAUACUCAAUAGGAGGAUAAUGGUAUUCAUUUGUUAAGAAUCUGAAGUUGAAAAUUGGGGAUAAGUUGGGAAUUGGAAUGGACAAUCCUCCUACUCAUAUUCAGGUUGUUGCUUUGAGAUCUGCAGGUAACGAUGACAGUGACUAAGAUUGAAGAAUUUUAGAGAAUUAUGAUGAACUUUAUAAGUGCAUAAUUAUAUUACUAUGUGUUGGUUUUUAAUGGUUGUGUAACUUAAGAACAAUUUCAUAUCUUGCUUUCCUAUCGGUUUAUGUUGCUACAUUUAAAC
rnacentral:lncRNA from 1 species